rnacentral:rRNA from 1 species
AAUAUUGUAAGUAUAUAAUAAUUACGAAAGCAAAAAAUUAUGGCGGUAUUUUAAGCUUUUCAGAGGAAUUUGCUCUUUAAUGGAUAAAACACCUAAAUCUUACUUAAAUUUGUUAAAUCAACUUGUAUACCACUAUUAAAACAAUUAUUAACUCUAAUUGUUAAUAUUUAAAACAUAAAUUAAUUUAAAUUAAGUCAAGGUGCAGUAAAAAUUUAAGAAUGAAGUGAAUUACAUUACUUUUAAGGGAAAUAAAAUUAAAUAAAGUUUAGGAUUUGAAAGUAAAAUUAAAAUAGAAUGUUAAUUUGAAUU